CAUAAUUACAGGUGUUCUGGCUGCCAGCUGCUCAGUAGGAGGAACUACACCUCAUCAGCAGUUCACCUCUGAAAUGCCAGAAAUAGUGGCAUCUGAGCAGAUGCCAAAACAAGAGCAGGAAACUCAACCAGGUAUGGCUGUAUAGCUACUUAGGCCAUCACUGUUGCCUCCAACGGUGUACGUUAUCUGGGAUUUGAGAUUGGAUGUUGAUGCCAGGAGCCAUAUCUAGACACUCCACAAUGUGAUCAUCUCAAUGGUGUCUUGCCUGGGUUCAACAGAGUUGAAGAAGAAUUAACACCAUGCUUGAAACUAGCAAGGUUGAGCCAUGAGGUUUAAACAAAGUUAUCUCCACAACCAAAAGUGCAUGGAGAAGCACUAAGUGGUGUUACAGAAGCUGCCCUCUGUUAUCUAGCUAAAAUCAUCAAGGAAGAUGACUACCACAGAGCUUCAGUGGAAAUGGAACAACAUGCUCUUGGAAGAUGAUGCCUUUUACAACUUUGAUGGAACAAUAGUCAAUAUCUAACUUAAAGGACAGGAUAAUUUUAGUUUCAGAAGCUAAGUAGCUGUGAUUGCAUAUGAUUUUUUGGUGGAGUUGUUUUCUUUGCUUUUUAGGCAAAGGAUUUUAUUAGUGGAGAUAAUCUGACAGAUUGACCUCUGGCAAGAGAUGGCCCAUUCCUCACGACAGCAUGAUUGCUACAGAAAUGGCCAUGAAGGGUAUAAAGCACUGGGUUUUUAAACAUCUUAGGCAUAGGGGAUGGGAGAAGACAGCAACUCCUCAGUUACUACAUUUUCACAGUGGCCAUUAUUCAUCGAAACACCAAGUUUUACAUUUUCAACAAUGCCGUUCAUUAUACGGACUAGUAUCUCAAGAAUGCUGCUUUGAAAAAGAAAUGAAAAAAGAUAAAGCAUGUCUUUUCCCUGAGACUUGAAGAUGUCAUCUGAUAUUUUGCUAAAAUGCAGCUGCAUAGCUGAGAAUGUCUAGAGCCGUUCUGAUUUUAUGUCUUUCCUGUCGUAAAGCCAGGAGUUUGUAAUACACUGAAGAUCCUGAAAUAUCAGUCUAUAUUCUCAACCUUCUUCACAUGUAACUUGCCAUCAGGAAUCUUCACUCUUAAUGGCAGAGUACUGGCAGUGUGAUAUCUUUAUUUACAUCACGAUCAUCAUAAGCCUGUGAGCAGUGUGAUCUCAAUGAUGUUA